ensembl:lncRNA
UGCUUUCUGCUGAUCAAAGAAUCCUGAAAAAAAAAAUGCAUGAAACAGCAAAAAUAUUUGGCAGCACAAAUAUUGUUUUCAACACUAUUAAUCAAAAAUGUUUCUUGAGCAGCAAAUCAGCAUAUUAGAAUGAUUUCUGAAGGAUAUGUGACACUGAAAACUGGAUAAUAUAUAAUACUGGAUAUAAUAAUAAGUACUGGAGUACACACACACACACACACGCGCGCGCGCGCGUAUUCAGAGGACAUUUCAGCAUCUAUCUGAACUUUACAUACGAAUAUCUUGUUAAUACGAAUGAGAUCAACGCAGUAUAUAAUGAUUCCUCUAACCCUGUGCUGCUUCCUCCUGGUGAAAAUCUGACAGGGGUGUGACUGACUGUCAUUCACUUUCACGUGGCUGCCAGAAAACAACAUUUCAUUUGAUUUUAAUUAGUUGUAUUCACGGCCCUCAAUCCCAUAAAAUAAGCGUAACUACCACCACCUUGUGUACAAACAUCUCCCUGCAGAGCGCGUGAGGAUCAGCCGGGAUAGAAACAUGACACCUUACAGCGUUAGCAGACCGCUGAGAGUGUGGAUGCUUCAGAGAUAUUCCUGCUCGCCCCCAACCCCGACAUAUCAACCUGGAAGACCAUUAAAGCCUAACCAUGUGAAUACCACCUAUUCACCGCAAACUCAUUGUUCACAGCAAGGUAAGUGAGGAAACCUUUAGACUGUAAUCACAGGCGAAGCUGAUUUCCAAAUGCAAAAGACGGAGAAAUUGGAAAAGCGAAUGUUGAAAUACUCGGCUCCGGUGGCUUGUAUGAUAGGGUGUGCAGAGGAGCAAGUCUAAUUCUCUCGCCCUCCUUUUGAUGACAAAUUAGAGAACCGUGCCGAGAAAAACAUGACGUUUCGGGAUGUAUGUGAGCAAUCACAACAUACACUACUCGCUGUUCAAGACAUGCAACGCCUGCUCCAGUCAAUGAAACCGACAGGCUCGAAGCAAAUCAAACCAGGUCAGAAGUUUCAAUGCUAAUAUAGAUCAGGCGUUUACCGUAAAUAAAUAAAUGGUAAUAAACUCA